rnacentral:rRNA from 1 species
UACGAAGGGGGCUAGCGUUGCUCGGAAUUACUGGGCGUAAAGGGAUCGUAGGCGGACAUUUAAGUCAGGGGUGAAAUCCCGAGGCUCAACCUCGGAACUGCCUUUGAUACUGGGUGUCUUGAGUGUGAGAGAGGUGAGUGGAACUCCGAGUGUAGAGGUGAAAUUCGUAGAUAUUCGGAAGAACACCAGUGGCGAAGGCGACUCACUGGCUCAUUACUGACGCUGAGGCUCGAAAGCGUGGGGAGCAAACAGG